GAUCAUGGCACAAUUAAGUGCUUGAUGACAGAUAUUAAAACAAAGGCAUAACACCUUAACUCCACUGCAGUGAAACAGUAACUUCACUUUGAUCUGCAGCAAAACAAAGGCAAAGACCCUGAUGAGUGAAGUUACUGGACUCUGUCUUGGUUUCUCGAGGGCUUUUGGAAGUUAAGGCAAAUACAACCUACUAUUUUCUCAAAAGAACAGCACAAUUGACUCAAGAUAUUUGUCCACAUGAUAAAGCACAUCUGUAAUGUUCCAAAAAUGACAAAAA